rnacentral:rRNA from 1 species
GAGGACGGUCGGCCACACUGGAACUGAGACACGGUCCAGACACCUACGGGUGGCAGCAGUCGAGAAUCAUUCACAAUGGGCGAAAGCCUGAUGGUGCGACGCCGCGUGGGGGAUGAAUGGCUUCGGUCAGUAAACCCCUGUCAUUAGUGAACAAACCUUUUAGAGUAAUAUUUUAAAAGCUGAUAGUAACUAAAGAGGAAGGGACGGCUAACUCUGUGCCAGCAGCCGCGGUAAUACAGAGGUCCCAAGCGUUGUUCGGAUUCACUGGGCGUAAAGAGUGCGUAGGUGGCUUUGUAAGUUUGAUGUGAAAGCUCCGAGCUCAACUCGGAAAUUGCAUUGAAAACUGCAUGGCUAGAGGGUCGGAAGGGAGACUGGAAUUUUGGGUGUAGCAGUGAAAUGCGUAGAUAUCCAGAGGAACACCAGUGGCGAAGGCGAGUCUCUGGACGAAUCCUGACACUGAGGCACGAAAGCUAGGGUAGCAAACAGGAUUAGAUACCCUGGUAGUCC